rnacentral:rRNA from 2 species
AGAGUUUGAUCCUGGCUCAGGACGAACGCUGGCGGCGUGCCUAAUACAUGCAAGUCGAACGCUUCUUUCCUCCCGAGUGCUUGCACUCAAUUGGAAAGAGGAGUGGCGGACGGGUGAGUAACACGUGGGUAACCUACCCAUCAGAGGGGGAUAACACUUGGAAACAGGUGCUAAUACCGCAUAACAGUUUAUGCCGCAUGGCAUAAGAGUGAAAGGCGCUUUCGGGUGUCGCUGAUGGAUGGACCCGCGGUGCAUUAGCUAGUUGGUGAGGUAACGGCUCACCAAGGCCACGAUGCAUAGCCGACCUGAGAGGGUGAUCGGCCACACUGGGACUGAGACACGGCCCAGACUCCUACGGGAGGCAGCAGUAGGGAAUCUUCGGCAAUGGACGAAAGUCUGACCGAGCAACGCCGCGUGAGUGAAGAAGGUUUUCGGAUCGUAAAACUCUGUUGUUAGAGAAGAACAAGGACGUUAGUAACUGAACGUCCCCUGACGGUAUCUAACCAGAAAGCCACGGCUAACUACGUGCCAGCAGCCGCGGUAAUACGUAGGUGGCAAGCGUUGUCCGGAUUUAUUGGGCGUAAAGCGAGCGCAGGCGGUUUCUUAAGUCUGAUGUGAAAGCCCCCGGCUCAACCGGGGAGGGUCAUUGGAAACUGGGAGACUUGAGUGCAGAAGAGGAGAGUGGAAUUCCAUGUGUAGCGGUGAAAUGCGUAGAUAUAUGGAGGAACACCAGUGGCGAAGGCGGCUCUCUGGUCUGUAACUGACGCUGAGGCUCGAAAGCGUGGGGAGUAAACAGGAUUAGAUACCCUGGUAGUCCACGCCGUAAACGAUGAGUGCUAAGUGUUGGAGGGUUUCCGCCCUUCAGUGCUGCAGCAAACGCAUUAAGCACUCCGCCUGGGGAGUACGACCGCAAGGUUGAAACUCAAAGGAAUUGACGGGGGCCCGCACAAGCGGUGGAGCAUGUGGUUUAAUUCGAAGCAACGCGAAGAACCUUACCAGGUCUUGACAUCCUUUGACCACUCUAGAGAUAGAGCUUUCCCUUCGGGGACAAAGUGACAGGUGGUGCAUGGUUGUCGUCAGCUCGUGUCGUGAGAUGUUGGGUUAAGUCCCGCAACGAGCGCAACCCUUAUUGUUAGUUGCCAUCAUUUAGUUGGGCACUCUAGCGAGACUGCCGGUGACAAACCGGAGGAAGGUGGGGAUGACGUCAAAUCAUCAUGCCCCUUAUGACCUGGGCUACACACGUGCUACAAUGGGAAGUACAACGAGUCGCUAGACCGCGAGGUCAUGCAAAUCUCUUAAAGCUUCUCUCAGUUCGGAUUGCAGGCUGCAACUCGCCUGCAUGAAGCCGGAAUCGCUAGUAAUCGCGGAUCAGCACGCCGCGGUGAAUACGUUCCCGGGCCUUGUACACACCGCCCGUCACACCACGAGAGUUUGUAACACCCGAAGUCGGUGAGGUAACCUUUUUGGAGCCAGCCGCCUAAGGUGGGAUAGAUGAUUGGGGUGAAGUCGUAACAAGGUAGCCGUAUCGGAAGGUGCGGCUGGAUCACCU